GUCUACUGCCAUGCCACCCUGAUCUUGGAAGCUAAGCAGGAUCAGGCCUGGUUAGUACUUGGAUGGGAGACCACCUAGGAAGACCAGGUGCUGUAGGCA
rnacentral:rRNA from 1 species